AGGGGUAACGAUGUCUUCGGACAGUCGACGACCGGCGCACGGGUGAGUAUCGCGUUUGUAACCUACCUUUAACUGGAGGAUAGCCCGAAGAAAUUCGGAUUAAUACUCCAUAAUACUAUGAUCUGGCAUCUUUUUAUAGUUAAAGCUCCGGCGGUUAAAGAUGGGCAUGCGUGACAUUAGUUUGUUGGUGAGGUAAGAGCUCACCAAGACUACGAUGUCUAGGGGGUCUGAGAGGAUGGUCCCCCACACUGGUACUGAGACACGGACCAGACUCCUACGGGAGGCAGCAGUGAGGAAUAUUGGUCAAUGGGCGCAAGCCUGAACCAGCCAUGCCGCGUGAAGGAUGACGGCGCUAUGCGUUGUAAACUUCUUUUGUACAGGAAGAAACACUUCUACGUGUAGAAGCUUGACGGUACUGUACGAAUAAGCAUCGGCUAACUCCGUGCCAGCAGCCGCGGUAAUACGGAGGAUGCAAGCGUUAUCCGGAUUUAUUGGGUUUAAAGGGUACGUAGGCGGAAGAUUAAGUCAGUGGUGAAAUCCUGCAGCUCAACUGUAGAACUGUCAUUGAUACUGGUUUUCUUGAAUAUAGUUGAGGUAGGCGGAAUGUGUAAUGUAGCGGUGAAAUGCUUAGAUAUUACACAGGAACACCGAUUGCGAAGGCAGCUUACUAAGCUAUGAUUGACGCUGAGGUACGAAAGCGUGGGGAGCGAACAGGAUUAGAUACCCUGGUAGUCCACGCCGUAAACGAUGAUCACUCGUUGUUGGCAAUACAUCGUCAGCGACUGAGCGAAAGCAUUAAGUGAUCCACCUGGGGAGUACGCUCGCAA
rnacentral:rRNA from 1 species